rnacentral:rRNA from 1 species
UACGGGGGGAGCAAGCGUUGUUCGGAUUUACUGGGCGUAAAGGGCGCGUAGGCGGCGCAACAAGUCACUUGUGAAAUCUCCGGGCUUAACCCGGAGCGGUCAAGUGAUACUGUCGUGCUAGAGUGCGGAAGGGGCUACUGGAAUUCCUGGUGUAGCGGUGAAAUGCGCAGAUAUCGAGGAGGAACACCGAGUGGCGAAGGCAGGUCUCUGGGCCACUACUGACGCUGGAGAAGCGAAAGCAUGGGGAGCGAACAGG